ensembl:lncRNA
UGAAUGGUUUUGGCCAUUUUGGUCAAGUCAGCUUCAUUCGCUCUGAGGUCAGCCUCAUUUUUUCAGUUCAGAUGCACACUGUGGAGGAUUUCUGGGCCCAUUUUGACAUCAACAUCAAGGCCUGGCAGCAACUAUGGAGGGGUUGGCUGUGGAUGGUGAGGACGUGGAAGAAAAGUCAACCUGAGUCCUAUGUCUCUGGCAGCUUAUCGGGUGAGCUCAGGGACCCUCUCCCCUCCUUCCUGCCGGAGAGCAUAGGCUUCGGAGUUGGAGGGCUUGUGGUUUGCCUGGUUCCCAAGGAGGAGUUGGCAGGGGGUGCCAAGAGGUCCAAUUUCACAAGGAGGGGCUGAUCCACCUCAGGAUCUUUGGAGCCCUUGGGUCCCUUUCCCCUGUUCCUAAGUAGCAUCUGGGAGCCUUGUAGUCCAUUCUGAGCUCCUCCAGCAUUUUCUUUGGUUUGUGAACCUUACAAUGGGCUCUGGAGCUUGUGUCUAAUAGCCUGGCUUACUGAGGGGGGGGUUCUGCUUUGGUUUUCUUGGUCAGCUAGACUCAAGAUGCCAUCAUGGCACAAGUCCAGUCAUCUGCAGGCAUCCCCAGCUUUUGCAGCCCAAGAUUGCUGAGAUUCAGAGGGACCCACAGAGACAUAGACUUCAACCUCUUCAGCGCAGAAGAUGACUUCUCCAGUUUUCUCCCCAUGGGAACAGACAGAGCGGUGGAUCCAAAAGAAACUUCUGGGAUUCAAUGAUCUUUCUGUCCCUCCAUCCUUUGCCUCAACAUUCUGAGGUCACUUGGCCAACACUUCAUUUAGUGGUCAGACCCUAGAAAAGAUUCCUUUGUUCUUGCUUAAGUCUUCAAUGCAAUUAUCCAAGGAGAAAGGAAAAGAAAGAGUAGGCCUUCGCAGUACUACUAAACCUGAAAGAAACUUUGUAGUAGGGGAAAGAGCAGACCUUCAAGUUACUAGUAAACCUGAAAGAAACUUUGUAGUAGGGGAAAGAGUAGACCUUCCCAUUACUAGUAAACCUGAAAGAAACUGUAGAAGAGGAAAGAGCAGACUUUCAAGUUACUAGUAAACCUGAAAGAAACUCUGUAGUAGGGGAAAGAGCAGACCUUCAAGUUACUACUAAACCUGAAAGAAACUUUGUAGUAGGGGAAAGAGUAGACCUUCCCAUUACUAGUAAACCUGAAAGAAACUGUAGAAGAGGAAAGAGCAGACUUUCAAGUUACUAGUAAACCUGAAAGAAACUCUGUAGUAGGGGAAAGAGCAGACCUUCAAGUUACUACUAAACCUGAAAGAAACUUUGUAGUAGGGGAAAGAGCAGACCUUCCUAUUACUAGUAAACCUGAAAGAAACUCUGUAGUAGGGGAAAGAGUAGACCUUCCGGUUACUAGUAAACCUGAAAGAAACUGUAGUAGAGGAAAGAGUGGACCUUCAAGUUACUACUAAACCUGAAAGAAACUUUGUAGUAGGGGAAAGAGCAGACCUUCCUGUUACUAGUAAACCUGAAAGAAACUCUGUAGUAGAGGAAAGAGCAGACCUUCAAGUUACUACUAAACCUGAAAGAAACUUUGUAGUAGGGGAAAGAGCAGACCUUCAAGUUACUAGUAAACCUGAAAGAAACUUUGUAGUAGGGGAAAGAGCCAGACCUUCAAGUUACUAGUAAACCUGAAAGAAACUUUGUAGUAGGGGAAAGAGCAGACCUUCAAGUUACUACUAAACCUGAAAGAAACUUUGUAGUAGGGGAAAGAGUAGACCUUCCCGUUACUAGUAAACCUGAAAGAAACUUUGUAGUAGGGGAAAGAGUAGACCUUCCCAUUACUAGUAAACCUGAAAGAAACUGUAGUAGAGGAAAGAGCAGACCUUCAAGUUACUAGUAAACCUGAAAGAAACUCUGUAGUAGGGGAAAGAGCAGACCUUCAAGUUACUACUAAACCUGAAAGAAACUCUGUAGUAGAGGAAAGAGCAGACCUUCAAGUUACUAGUAAACCUGAAAGAAACUUUGUAGUAGGGGAAAGAGCCAGACCUUCAUGUUACUACUAAACCUGAAAGAAACAUGGAGGGGAAGCCUUCUCUUUAUCCCCACACUACAACUCAUUUUACAAAGAGUGUAGGGAGGCUUUGGACUAUAUGGGCCAGCUCCACUGUUAUCAGCAAGUGGGUCAGACUGCCUAGUCACAAAAUGAGGCAAAAGACUUUACUGGAAUUUGUCUUAAUGAAAAAAUAAGUUAUCCACGUGUGUGGAAAAAGAAAAUAAAAAUUAUAUCUACACAGGUGUGGAAAAAGAA